rnacentral:rRNA from 1 species
CCUACGGGAGGCAGCAGUGGGGAAUAUUGGGCAAUGGGCGCAAGCCUGACCCAGCAACGCCGCGUGAAGGAAGAAGGCUCUCGGGUUGUAAACUUCUUUUAUCAGGGACGAAGCAAGUGACGGUACCUGAUGAAUAAGCCACGGCUAACUACGUGCCAGCAGCCGCGGUAAUACGUAGGUGGCAAGCGUUAUCCGGAUUUACUGGGUGUAAAGGGCGUGUAGGCGGGAAAGCAAGUCAGAUGUGAACACCAUGGGCUCAACCUGUGGCCUGCAUUUGAAACUGGUUAUCUUGAGUACUGGAGAGGCAAACGGAAUUCCUAGUGUAGCGGUGAAAUGCGUAGAUAUUAGGAGGAACACCAGUGGCGAAGGCGGUCUGCUGGACAGCAACUGACGCUGAGGCGCGAAAGCGUGGGGAGCAAACAGGAUUAGAUACCCGGGUAGUC